rnacentral:lncRNA from 1 species
GAGUCAGCAUGAGUCAUCUCGUUCCAAUGAGAAUGAAGGCUGAGGUGUGCGCCUUUUUUUUUUUUCCUUCUUAGUCGUGUGUACAUCAUUGGGAAUGGAGGGAAAUAAAUGACUGGAUGGUCGCUGCUUUUUAAGUUUCAAAUUGACAUUCCAGACAAGCGGUGCCUGAGCCCGUGCCUGUCUUCAGAUCUUCACAGCACAGUUCCUGGGAAGGUGGAGCCACCAGCCUCUCCCUGACAAGCAAAGUGGAUCAGCAAAGGCUGCAGUCACCAGCAUCUUUUCCAACCUUAAUGAACUGUAUCCUCAAAAGAACACUAUCAGACUGGCUCUGCCGACUUCCAGUUCUGGAACAAGAUGGUUAAACUCAUUUUUCCCUGCUCUGCUCCUCUAAAUACAACUAAGUACCUUGGAAACUAUUCAGCAGACAAUGAUAAAGGGCUCUGAAAGCUAGAAGAAAAGGUGUACUUGCAAGAAACCUCAGGACUUGAGUAACAGCAACAUGAACAAUCCAUUUCACAGAUGAAGAAACAGACUCAGUGAGCACGUGAUCACUUCUCACAACUAAUGGAGCCAAGAUUCUGUCCUUAUGGCUCCAGAGACCUCUUUUUUUUCCCACUGUACCACAACACUCACCAGGACUGGAGUGCCACCUAUGACCUCAUUGCAUAAUGGAUGGCUUGUCCUCAAAUGGGCCCGGUCUUGGACGAGCCUGAGGAUGUCUACAAGUGGAAGAAAAGAAGCCACUGGAGCAGAAGGUGGGGAGGAUAAAAUUUGGAGCAAGAUUCUCAAGGAAGCAACAAGAUCCUAAGGAAAGGAGAAAGAGACUACCUACUGCAUUUCUGUCACUCGCUGAAAAGGACACUCUGUCAGAAAAUCUUCUAGCAAACUUCAAAGGGCAAAAUCACCCCUUGUUACUGAUAAAGCCCAGAGAGCUUCAGCAGCUAACAUUCCCUGGACAGGGCACAGCAAGGAUUUGAACCUAGGUCAGUCUGGCCAGAACACCCACAAGCUUUCCUUAACUCAGUGUGCUAUCUCCCCACGACUAGGUCACUACUGCUUUAUAAUCACCUUUGUAGCCACCAGUGGAUUUUGCUCAUCAGUAUUUUUCAGGCAAUUGAUACUUUAGAUAUUCAGCUGCAAGACGUAUGCAGUUUUCAUUGACAUCUUUUGGAGAAACUGACAAACCUGGACUUGACUUAAUGCCUUUGGAACCUUCCAAGAUGUUAUAUAACUCUAGAUAGAAGGCUGGGCCUCCAUGAUGUCAGGAAUGUUGCAUUCUUAUUUCCCCAUAGAUAAACCCAUUUGUCCACAAAGUCAAGGAGUCAGGCAGAGGCCCUUGCCAUGGGGCUUUUUAGGAUAAAGCAACAAGCCUGGACUUUGCUCUACAACAGGGUUUUGCAUAGGGAGUGGUAUGACCAGAUCCCUCAAGAAAGAAAGCUUAGAGACCAGGCCAGAGUCCACUGCAGUAGCCCAGUCAAGAGAGGAUGGUGACUUGGACUUGUAGUAGAGCCAGUUAGAAUGAAAGAAAUUGACACAUUCAGAAAUGGUUUUAGAGAUAGAGUCAAACUGGACCUGAUAAAGAACUAGAGAAGCGGAGUGAGGAUAAAGAGAAGAGCCAUGACUGACUCGGAAGAUUUUGUCUUGAAAAACUUGAGAACUCAAGACAGAGUGAAAUAAAAUCACAUGUGGGAAAAA